CGUGAAAAAGUUUUCUAGUUAUAAAAGAGAAAUUAUGAGAAAGAUAGUAUCCGAGUUUAAUAGGACUUGGGCUAUCCUUGAAGAUUAAAGAAAGAAAGAAGUUAUUAGAAGAAACGACAUUCAUCCAAAAAGAAAAAAUAGAGAACAGAAAAAUGAGUGGCGAGUAGAAGAUUAGACAAGAAAAGAAUGAUAAACACUAAAAAUAUUUCGUCUCAGAGAAAAUAUCUUAAUUCAAACAUAAAAACGAAAAACGUCGCUUUAACCCUUUUUCAUAUGACACACCUAAAACCAAACGCAGAUGAGAUGCGACUAAUUAUUAGCUCAAUGUAAACUUCUUGUCCGUUGCCUAUCAGGCGAAGAGUUAGAAGAUACAGAUCGUCUUGAAUUGAGCAGAGCCCCAUAAAUACAUCAAUUAUUCCAAUAUACAUAAAUCUUGAAUCAAUGUUCAAUUAUAGCAAUUAAGUUUGGAAUCCGUGCUUUGAAAAUAAAAAUUGGAUUAAACUUGAAUCUAAGAUUCAUGUCGGAGACCAACGAUUGUCGAAUUUUGUAGAUGGUAACCAAAAAAGAAAAGGCCAUUGUUGAAUUGUUGCAACAUGAAAAAACAAAAAAUAAAAAAUAUGAAUUCCGAUGAUGAACAACAAUGAAAAAAAUAAGACACGCAAAAUUAAAGAAUUGGGGAGUGAAACUUUGGAAAAAGCAUUAGAGAGUAUGGUGGAGGGAGAUAAAAAAUCUUUGGAAGACUUCUUUUUUAAGUUUUCGAACUUCUUUAACAGAUUUUUUUGACUUUCAAGUUCUGAUGCCAGUAAAGAGAGACCAGCGGCAAAUUGGGAAUCGUUCAAAGUCUCCGUUUUAGGGAUGUAAGGGAUGUGAAAGAAAGGGCUGGGAAAAGUAAUUUUUAGAUUUUGAUACGGAGGGUGAUUUUGGAAGGGUUGAGGCGCCUUUUCCUUAAAAAAUAGUCUCAACUGCUCGUUUUCCAACUGAAGAUGUGCAACCUUUUCUUCUAAAAUCAUGUUUGACUCCAUAAAAGCGCCUCUUUCUUUUUGUUCCGACAAAGAUUCUUUCUUCAUGUAAUCUGUUUCCUAUUAAACAAAUUAGUAAACUGGCUUGUCUCUACCUCGAAUAAGGCAUAUUCUUAAAAAUCAUACCGUUUUCCUUUCCUUUUCUACAGCAUGGAUUAGCUCUUCCAUUCUCACAAUAUGGGCUUGCUGUUGCUCAUACUCUUCAUGAAUGGUUUGUAAUUGAGCUGCAUACUCCUUAGAAUCACGAAGAGCUUCACGAAAUUUUUUCUCCCAGGUUUUCGCUUGGGUAUAACAAGACUUGCAAGCUUCUUCCGAAGAAUCCAAUUCCUCCAAUAAUUUUGCAUUUCGCGCGUUUAGUUCUUUAACUUGCUCGUCUUUAGAACGUAAUUCUGCCGCUUGAAGCUCUAUCCUUUCAUAAAGCUGUUGAAUUAAAGAAUCAUCAGCAUUUUCCUUGUUUAUAUGAGAAAAUCCUUUAUUUGAUCCAUAUUCAUUUUUAGUUCGAAACAUUGACAAAGGGGUUGAAUGACUCAAAGGUGAUCCUUUUCUUGGUGUUAUGUAACUUGCGUCUUGAUAAAACAUAUCUUUUCUCUUUAUUCGAUUUUCUGAUAUUUUUUGAGGCUUCGCUACACUUUUUCUUGGUAAUACCCCAUUCUCGCGCAAAGCUAAUUUGUUUACAGGAAGGGUAUCAGGGUCAAGACCAGUUAACUCAUAAAACAAAUUCUUAAUUUCACUCGUAGACACUACAAUCUCACUGUUAUCUUUUAUAAAAUCUUGGGCCGAUUGUCUUUGCUCAUUAUCAAGCAAAGGGGCCUCUGGAUUAAGUCGCAAUGCGUCAACAUCGUCGACAAUUUCUAAAAAUGCUUGAAUGGAAACCUGUCGAAAAUUAGAAACUAUUUUUCAAGUAAUGAGAAAUUACUUUUCCUGUAUAAUCUGGGUCGUAUUGGCGCACAAUAUCGUCAAAAGGGAUGUAUUCAUCCAUUUUGAUUGUUUAUUGACAUGUGCUUUGGUUAAACAGAAUUAGUAUAAAGG